rnacentral:sRNA from 1 species
GGUCACUCGGGUCUCCGUCUGUGCCAGGGAGGGAGAAUCACGCCCAGGGUCCUCUCGCUUCGCGCGACUGAGAACGCGCCCGGACGCGGCGCAGCGCUCCGGUGUCAAAGGAGAGGCGGCGGCAGGACCACCCCAGGGCGCCGUCUGCACCCCCGGACGCACUCGGCCGUGCUGCGCUUCCGGGACAAGGCGUCGGUUCUCCCCUGAGGGCCAAACCUUGCCCCUGCCCACCGUCCUCACCCCCGCCAUUUCCAGGACUCACAUCCAAAGGCGACAGCACCAGGAUUUGCUCCCGCCUUUGGCACAGAGGAGGACGGGUCCCUCUCUCAGCCUGGCCAGUCUUUCCCAGGGCUUAAUGGGAAAAAGGACUUCCCUAGAAGAGCUGUCCAAUCCCAGUACCUGAGCCCAGCUUCAGAGGGGAGAACUAGGCGGGAGAGAUGGAAGGGGCUGUGAGGCACAGGCCCAUCAGCAGAGCUCCAUACUCCUCACAGACACACUGCGGGCAGCCCCGGACGCGCUGGGCCCUGGCCCCUCCGGCCGCAAACGGCGCAAGUCGCGCACUGCGUUCACCGCGCAACAGGUGCUGGAGCUGGAGCGGCGCUUCGUCUUCCAGAAGUACCUGGCGCCGUCCGAGCGAGACGGGCUAGCUACGCGACUCGGCCUGGCCAACGCGCAGGUGGUCACUUGGUUCCAGAACCGGCGAGCCAAGCUCAAGCGCGACGUGGAGGAGAUGCGCGCCGACGUCGCCUCGCUACGCGCGUUGUCCCCGGAAGUCCUGUGCGGCUUAGCACUGCCCGAGGGCGCUCCAGAUCCCGGCCUCUGCCUCGGCCCUGCCGGCCCUGACUCCCGGCCCCACCUGUCAGACGAGGAGAUACAGGUGGACGAUUGAAGACAAAGCCGCCGCUAAUCCUGGGCUGUGGGGCCCUGGACUCCUCACCUCGCGCUCUGCCUCCGGCCAGAGUUCCAGGGUGGAGGAAGGAGGUCCACUUGGGCCUCUUCCGGCCCACAGUCCAGACGCUCACCUUUCCCGGUUUUUUUUUGUAAGUUUGUUUUGUUGUCUGAGACAGGGCCUCGCUCUGUCGCCCAGGCUGGAGUGCCGUGGAGUGAUCACCGCUCACUGCAGCCGCGACCUCCUGGGCUCAAGCGAUCCUCCUGCCUCAACCUCCUGACUAGCUGGGAUUACAGACGUGCAGCACCACCCCAGGCUAAUUUAAAAAACUUUUUUUUUAGAAAGG